rnacentral:tRNA from 1 species
GCCCUGGUAGUGCAACAGUUAAGCGCUUGGCUGCUAACCAAAAGGUUGGUGGUUUGAAUCCAUCCAGUGGCU